rnacentral:rRNA from 1 species
GACGAACGCUGGCGGCGUGCUUAACACAUGCAAGUCGUACGGUAAGGCCCUUUCGGGGGUACACGAGUGGCGAACGGGUGAGUAACACGUGAGUAACCUGCCCACAACUUUGGGAUAACGCUAGGAAACUGUUCCUAAUACUGGAUAUGUGCUCCUGCUGCAUGGUGGGGGUUGGAAAGCUCCGGCGGUUGUGGAUGGACUCGCGGCCUAUCAGCUUGUUGGUGGGGUAGUGGCCUACCAAGGCGGCGACGGGUAGCCGGCCUGAGAGAGUGACCGGCCACACUGGGACUGAGAUACGGCACAGACUGCUACGGGAGGCAGCAGUGGGGAAUAUUGAACCAGGGGCGCAAGCCUGAUGCAGCAACGCCGCGUGCGGGAUGACGGCCUUCGGGUUGUAAAACGCUUUCAGCAGGGACGAAGCUUUUUGUGACGGUACCUGAAGAAGAAGCACCGGCUAACUACGUG